CCUUGCAUGUCUAAGUUCACACCCUCGUACGGUGAAACCGCGAAUGGCUCAUUAAAUCAGUCGAGGUUCCUUAGAUGAUCCAUUUCUACUUGGAUAACUGUGGUAAUUCUAGAGCUAAUACAUGCCCAACAGCUCCGACCCCGGGCUUCGCGGUUCGGGGAAAGAGCGCUUUUAUUAGUUCAAAACCAGUCGGGGGUUUCGGCCCUCGUGCUUUGGUGACUCUGGAUAACUUUGAGCCGAUCGCAUGGCCUCGAGCCGGCGACGCAUCUUUCAAAUGUCUGCCCUAUCAAAUGACGACGGUACGUGAUCUGCCUACCGUGUUGACUACGGGUAGCGGGGAAUCACGGUUCGAUUCCGGAGAGGGAGCAUGAGA
rnacentral:rRNA from 1 species